GUAGGGAAUCUUGCGCAAUGCGCGAAAGCGUGACGCAGCAACGCCGCGUGGGGGAAGAAGGCCUUCGGGUUGUAAACCCCUUUCAGGAGGGACGAAGGUGCGGCGGCGAACAGCCGUCCGUACUGACGGUACCUCCAGAAGAAGCCCCGGCUAACUACGUGCCAGCAGCCGCGGUAAUACGUAGGGGGCUAGCGUUGUCCGGAAUCAUUGGGCGUAAAGCGCGCGUAGGCGGCCCGGUAAGUCCGCUGUAAAAGUCCAGGGCUCAACCCUGGAAAGCCGGUGGAUACUGUCGGGCUCGAGUCCGGAAGAGGCGAGUGGAAUUCCUGGUGUAGCGGUGGAAUGCGCAGAUAUCAGGAGGAACACCAAUAGCGAAGGCAGCUCGCUGGGACGGUACUGACGCUGAGGCGCGAAAGCGUGGGGAGCGAACAGGAUUAGAAACCCUAGUAGUCC
rnacentral:rRNA from 1 species